rnacentral:rRNA from 2 species
GGGGAAUAUUGGACAAUGGACGAAAGUCUGAUCCAGCGACGCCGCGUGGAGGAAGAAGUCCUUCGGGAUGUAAACUCAUGAAGCUAACGAAUAAGACGGAAGGGGAACCUUCCGGGAGAAGGUAAUUAGUGAAAAGCCCCGGCUAACUACGUGCCAGCAGCCGCGGUAAUACGUAGGGGGCUAGCGUUAUCCGGAUUUACUGGGCGUAAAGGGUGCGUAGGUGGUUUCUUAAGUCAGGAGUGAAAGGCUACGGCUCAACCGUAGUAAGCUCUUGAAACUGGGAAACUUGAGUGCAGGAGAGGAAAGUGGAAUUCCUAGUGUAGCGGUGAAAUGCGUAGAUAUUAGGAGGAACACCAGUAGCGAAGGCGGCUUUCUGGACUGUAACUGACACUGAGGCACGAAAGCGUGGGGAGCAAACA